rnacentral:rRNA from 1 species
GGGAUUGCCCUAGUAACGGCGAGUGAAGCGGCAACAGCUCAAAUUUGAAAUCUGGCUCUUUCAGAGUCCGAGUUGUAAUUUGCAGAGGGCGCUUUGGCGUUGGCAGCGGUCCAAGUUCCUUGGAACAGGACGUCACAGAGGGUGAGAAUCCCGUACGUGGUCGCUAACCUUCGCCGUGUAAAGCCCCUUCGACGAGUCGAGUUGUUUGGGAAUGCAGCUCUAAAUGGGAGGUAAAUUUCUUCUAAAGCUAAAUACUGGCCAGAGACCGAUAGCGCACAAGUAGAGUGAUCGAAAGAUGAAAAGCACUUUGGAAAGAGAGUCAAAUAGCACGUGAAAUUGUUGAAAGGGAAGCGCUUGCAGCCAGACUUGCCUGUAGUUGCUCAUCCGGGCUUUUGCCCGGUGCACUCUUCUAUAGGCAGGCCAGCAUCAGUUUGGGCGGUUGGAUAAAGGUCUCUGUCAUGUACCUCCUUUCGGGGAGGCCUUAUAGGGGAGACGACAUGCAACCAGCCUGGACUGAGGUCCGCGCAUUUGCUAGGAUGCUGGCGUAAUGGCUGUAAGCGGCCCGUCUUGAAACACGGACCAAGGAGUCUAACAUCCAUGCGAGUGUUUGGGUGUCAAGCCCGAGCGCGCAAUGAAAGUGAACGGAGGUGGGAACCCUUAAGGGUGCACCAUCGACCGAUCCUGAUGUCUUCGGAUGGAUUUGAGUAAGAGCAUGGCUGUUGGGACCCGAAAGAUGGUGAACUAUGCUUGAAUAGGGUGAAGCCAGAGGAAACUCUGGUGGAGGCUCGCAGCGGUUCUGACGUGCAAAUCGAUCGUCAAAUUUGGGCAUAGGGGCG